GGGCCCGCACAAGCGGUGGAGCAUGUGGUUCAAUUCGACGCAACGCGAAGAACCUUACCUGGACUAGACAACAGCGGACCGUCCUAGAAAUAGGAUUUUCCUUUCGGGGACCGCUGGUUCAGGUGCUGCAUGGCUGUCGUCAGCUCGUGCCGUGAGGUGUUGGGUUAAGUCCCGCAACGAGCGCAACCCUCGUACUUAGUUGCCACCAUUCAGUUGGGCACUCUAGGUAGACUGCCGGCGUUAAGCCGGAGGAAGGUGGGGACGACGUCAAGUCAUCAUGGCCCUUAUGUCCAGGGCCACACACGUGCUACAAUGGACGGUACAAAGGGUCGCGAACCCGUGAGGGGGAGCCAAUCCCAAAAAGCCGUUCUCAGUUCGGAUUGGAGUCUGCAACUCGACUCCAUGAAGUUGGAAUCGCUAGUAAUCGCGGAUCAGCACGCCGCGGUGAAUACGUUCCCGGGCCUU
rnacentral:rRNA from 1 species